UGCAUUAUUGCAAAGCCUUUAAGAUGUAAUUGGGGGGGGGGGUUUCUUAAAUGAACGUUUGCAACCAGUCACAGGACCUGACAGGUGUUACAUCAUCAGUUAGCACCACUCGGAAGCCAACGCUGGGAAUGACGUCACACCCGAGUUGAACUCGUUCCAUUUACAAGUCAGAUUUUUCAUUGUGGGGUUAGCUCUAGCCAGGUUAGCCAUUGUUAGCAAUACCAGUAGAUAACAACGCAUUACGCUGUUUUUUGUGCAUACAAACAGCGAACAGCGUAACAACACGUCCACAGAUGGAAGACGAACAGGACUGUGUGCGACUGAUUUAGUGAGAAACAAAUAAGACAGAAGUGCUGAUAACUGUAUGUUACUACAGCUUUCACUACUGGGAUGCACAGGGCAGCCAUGUUGGACUUUGAGCUCGGGGUAGUCGGUGGUUGCCCGAGUAUCGAGGUCAGGGGGCGUUUCCGACUUUGACCUCGAAAAAGCCGACUUCCGAGUACAAAUGGAACGCACUAUCAUUAACAAAAAACACAUUUUAGCUUAUGGAGAAAUACUAACACUACCAACAAUCCUAAGCGCAGAGUCCAAAAUAAGCACCAUCAACAAGCCAAAUGCUAGUAAAAUAUGCAAGUGGCUGGUAUAUUUGCUUCA